ACUAAAAUCGACUACUUUUCUGUCGAUUUUUAUCAACAAUAAAUUACCCCCGCUCUUAUUCCCCGCCUCACUCGUUUCCCCCUAAUUCACAGGUUACAUUUUACCCCAAUUUCUGCUUUCUCCAUUUCACCUCAGAAGCUUGUCCUCAACAUCUCCGUUGGCGAGAGUGGCGAUCGUCUCACCAAAAUGAUGGGAGACGUUUGAUGGAUAAAUUAAAGUUCAGAAGCUCCAUCCCUCGAUAGAUAAAUCGUCUUGCUCGAAUUGUUAGGAAACAUCAAGCAAACUCUCAUGCAAAAAAGGGAUGGGAACAAUUUAGUGAUGCUGUUAUCAAAACAAUCUCACAGAAAAGGGAAGGUGUUGUCUUUCUGUUGUGGGGCAACUAUGCUCGGGAGAAAUCUAGGUACUACCUCUAUUGUAUAACACACUAAAAGCUUACAAGCUUUAGAAACUAAAUGUAGAGUCGGCAUCCUGGGUUUAUGUAGUUAGCUUGAUCAGAAAAGAUUAAACUUCAAGUAUUUAUUGUCUCUUUUUCAGAAAUAGAUGACAAGCAUGUUUUUUAUGCAAAUGUACAUCUAUAAUGUAUAAAAUUAUAAGCUGCUCCCAGAAGAGUUUCUAUAAACUAAUUUGGACUAUUUUCUUUC